rnacentral:rRNA from 1 species
UGCCAGCCGCCGCGGUAAUACGUAGGGUGCAAGCGUUAAUCGGAAUUACUGGGCGUAAAGCGUGCGCAGGCGGUUUUGUAAGUCUGUCGUGAAAUCCCCGGGCUCAACCUGGGAAUUGCGAUGGAGACUGCAAGGCUGGAGUCUGGCAGAGGGGGGUAGAAUUCCACGUGUAGCAGUGAAAUGCGUAGAGAUGUGGAGGAACACCGAUGGCGAAGGCAGCCCCCUGGGUCAAGACUGACGCUCAUGCACGAAAGCGUGGGGAGCAAACAGGAUUAGAUA